GACGAACGCUUGCGACGUGCCUAAGAAAUGCAAGUCGAACGGGGUAGCAAUACCUAGUGGCGAACGGUCGCGUAACACGUGGGCAACCUGCCCUGGAGCGGGGGACAACAUUCCGAAAGGGGUGCUAAUACCGCAUGUGGUGGGGAUCGGCAUCGAUCCCUUACUAAAGAUUUAUCACUCCAGGAUGGGCCCGCGGCCUAUCAGCUAGUUGGUGGGGUAACGGCCUACCAAGGCUUCGACGGGUAGCUGGUCUGAGAGGACGAUCAGCCG
rnacentral:rRNA from 1 species